UUUAUCUACAAAAAAAAAAAAAAAAUUUGAGAAAAUCAGGAAAAAUAAAAUGCAACAGCAUUUUUUAGGCUGCCAGCAGGUAUUCAAUUGCUGCCAUAAUUAUGUGCUUGGCCUUGCUGGGAUCUUGGAGGACUAAUAUUUAAGAGACCUGAACCAAUCCUUUGAAGAUGCUAGAUGGAGAUUUAAAAAUUUGCUCAUAAAGGAGCACAAAAAGCAGGAAAUCCGGAAAACGCAGAGGCUCAAGGUCCCAAACCCUCAGGGUCUGCUGUUGUGGUUUCUUUGUAAAGGAAGAAGGACCUAUCAGAGACCUCUGCGGACCUUCCCAGCAGCGCUCAGUGUCCCAACCCGCGUCAGCCGCGCCGGGGCUCUGCUUACCUGUCCCGCAGGUGACCGCACCGCAGCCCCAUGGCUGUGCAUUCCGCCUCGCUCACCGACAGCCCUUUGCAGGACUUGAUCGGGUAGAUCCACAGCUGCGCCACGGUGCCCACCUGCUGCAGCGGCCGGCGCUUCCUGGGCCGCGCUCGGCGCCAGGCGACAGCCCCCAGGGCCACCGUGGCCAGACCUAGGGCAGCGACGCUGAGCCAAGGUCGAGGCUGCGCCGGGAGGCCGAGGCGGGCCAGCGCCGAGGAACCGGCGGUACCCAUGGCCCGAGAUGCCCGGGGCGGCGGGAAAGCCCGCGUGGAUGGACACUAGGCAGCGGUGGGGCCGGGGCGCGGCGCAAACCCCAGGCCACAGGGAACGUGCGGUCUCAGGCCCGGAGCCCAAAGGGCGUGCAGCUCCUGAGCUCUAACCGGCCAAUCAGAGCUCCGCGUCCUUCUUCUGGGAGCUGGUGUGGGAGGUGGUAGCUCAGCUUCCAGUUUUUGCCCUGCCUUCCCCAUUUCCCGCGGCCUGUGGCUUCAAGGCAAUACGUCCCUCUCCGUGUUCCUGCCAGUGCCUCGUUUAUUAACGUAUUUGUGGCGUUGUUUGCUUGAACCAAAAAAACUGCGUGAUUUUGAAUUAGAAAUCAGUCAGCGAAGCCUCAGAACUGGAAGGGCCUUGGCUGGGACCCUGCAAGCCUGGGGCUCUGGCUGAGAAGGUUGGUACUAGGACAGGCUUUUUCCACCCUGAGGACUGUGACCUCAGUCACUUGCCACUUACAAACGAGGUCAUUAUUUUAACCAUUUUGGUGAAAGAAAAUGAAGAAGAAAUCCUUCCUUAUGUGGAAUAUCUGCACAAACUUAAAUUGAGCAACAAGAAACCACUUAUGGCAAUUUUGAAAUAAUUAUUACGUUUUUAUAGGUCUAGUCUUUUGAAAAUAAAAAUAGGUGAAUGAUUACAAUCCUUCUAGAGGGAUUAUAAUAAUUAUAUAAAAGGUAUGCAAGGAUAUGUGAUAUAUAAGCUCUUGAUUAUUAUUUCCGACCUAUUUUGAUGCACCUGUGUCAAUUUUGUUCAAAUAUUCAGAGUUGAAAACUUGGGACUUAAUGAGAUAACCAACAAAGCCACCACUAUCAGAGUGAUUUAGGAGGCUGAGUUGUGUUACAGAAAAAAGAAAUUAUUCCCACACUUAUUAAAAUUUUAAAGAAGACUAUUCAAAUUAUUGGGUGUAUAGCUCAGUGGUAGAGCACUUGUGUAGCAUGCAUGAAUGAUGUCAUAAGUUCCAUCCCCAGCAUGGGUGAAAAAUAGUAUUCUUACAGGGGUAUUACAAUAGGAGAUGGAGAUUGCGCUCAAUUCUUCAUUACAGAAAAGAUAUCUGGGGACUUAUAGGCAAGGGGCAUAAGGGUCAGUAGAUAGAAAACCACUACCAGGAGACAUCAAGGGGAAUGAGACUCUUGCUAAACAAGGAGCUCAAAGUGCAAUUGAGGGAAAGGUGAAAGUUGAGGAAUUUGAGCCAAUAUCCACAGUGAUGAGCUAUCAAGGGUGGGGGAAUUCUAUCUAAACUGACUUAGCAAGAUUCUUGCUAAGAACCUGAUUCCACAGGCCUGGGAGGGGUGGGGGGUUGGGGAGUGGAACCAAGGUUGAGGCCUAGUCAAGAAAAGGAUCUAAAGUGAAGUUUGGUCAAGGAGUCUUUGUCAGGCUCAGGUAAACCACUAGUCCCUUGGUCUAAAACUGUUCAUGCAGAGAGAACAUGUCUGGGAAUAGAGAAGGGAGAAUUCUCAAAGGGGAAUAGACCUUUUUCCUUUAGUAGGUAAUUCAUUUCUGGGCCCUUAAGUACUCAGGAAGGAUCCUUCUAGAACAUUGUUCCUCAUCAUAGAUGUACAAGCCCAAACAGAUGCUAUCCUCUCUUCCAAUCCUGGAUCACCCUCACCCUCACUCCUAUGAAAUCCAGAAAUUGUGUUCAAAGUGCAGAGGUCACUGUUUCUCCAACUAUUGGGAUGCAUUAAUCAUCUAGACUCUUCCAGGGUUGGCUGGAGGGAGAAGAAGGUUGGGUAAAUAUUUCCUCCCUGAAAGAAGUGUUGAUUGAUUAUGGUGUGCCACCGAGGAUGUGGGUGAAGUGUGACUCAUUAGUAUGGCACAGGACUUGAGUUCUGUGUUCUCCACAGAAAGACAGCUCCGAGAGACUGACGCCUAUGUGUUUCUGUCUGUCUCCCUCCUUAAUCUCUUUGGAAAGUUAAAAGGGAAAAUAUGGCUUUUUUUUUUUUAAUGGUUGACUUUAAAGUUAGCAUGACAUUCUCAUUUCAUCACUUCACAAAAUGUACCAGCAGGACGGCUUGAUUACUUACUACUCUCACCUCACAGGGUGCCAGGGAUGAAGGUUAACUUCAGUCCCAGAAACUUGUGAAAGAAAACAAAGAAGAAAAAUGGAGAAGGAAGAAAUACCUGCUCCUUAUUAUUUACCACUAGGAAGUGUCCUCAUCUCAGACCAGCCAUCUGUGUACCUGCAGUUCCUGACACCCACACCCACCAGUGACAGGAGGUGAUCUCUCCACAUGCUCCUGCCCUGAUGUCAUCCACAUGCUGUGACACAGCCAAGGAGACCCUUAUCAGAGGCCAAACUGCGGGGGAAUCACCCAAUCUUGGACUUUUAGCCUUCCAAACUAAGCUAAACAAACUUCUCUUUAUUAUAAAGUAUCCAGGAUAUUUUGUUGUAGCAACAGAAAAUGUACUAAUCACACAACAUGUUGGGAAUGUAGAAUGGAAACAACCCUGGAAAACAAUUGGUAAGAUGCUCAAUAAUAUGCCUACACUCCACGGGCCAAUAAUUCUACUUUCAGGAAUCCAACUUACAGAACAAUCCUUUAAUUUUUAAAUGUCCUUAUCCACUAUAAUAUUAUUUAUAAUAAAAGUUGAUAUAAUCCAAGUGUCAAA